AGAAAUACGUUGCCUUCAUGGCGUCUUCUUCGCGUAAGCCGGUGGUUGUAAGCGACUAUGGAGCAGGAGUUUCCCUGAGAGCGUUCUUCUAAUAACGGACUCCAGUACGCUGUGCAGGACACGUGCACGAAUGCACUUUGGGAGAAGCAACGUGCCGCACGUACCGUGCAAAAGAAGGUAAACGCUCGAGCCAAGGUCGAGCUUCAGACGUCACUGAUACUUGAUGUUUAACCUAUCCGAGCACAAUUCGGCAGCCGAGUCCACAGGAUCCAGGACAAAAACGAGUUUCGGGGCUGGUUCAUCAGUCAACACCGUUGUCUAGGAGAGAGAUGGGUAAGCACUCUCUGCAAUGCUGUCUGGAGCGUGGCGGCAACGCUCGGAGGCGACAGCGUUCCCCGGUGCGUCGUCGUCGUUUCCGUUCCCUGGCAGGUGAAAGCGGGAACGUGGUGGAAACCAUAGUGAUAGCCUUUUACAGAGGUAGGAUCGAAGCUACAAACACUGCCGGCAUGCUCCGUGCAUAGAAGUGUGGGCUCGAACCGAAGCAUAUUGUCCGUGAGUCUCCAGUUCCAAUGUGGCGCGAACAUCGCUUGCGAGCAACGAGCUCGUGACUGCGUACAUUCAUGAUGAACACGGACGCUGCUGGCGAGCCGCGGGUUCGACGACUCGCUAAAUUCUGCCAUUCCGUCUAUGACGCAACGAAAAACAAUUCGAAUCCCGCUCAUUCAUUGGUCCAGGGCAUCGUAUUCUCACUUGAGCUCAUUUUACUUUCAAGCAUUUGGCGCUCGGCGGGCAAUGCCAGUGAUAUCAGUAGACGCGGCGCAGUGGCAUCGACUAAACCUGGUGACACGCACGUGGAGAUUGAGGCUCAUCAGUGGCGGUAGCUUGCUCAUCGUUCCCGUGAAACACCGCCCACUUUUGUGGGUAACACACCACAGACCGUGAGCGUGAAACCGGGAGCGUAUGUCGACACUGGUGUUGAUCAUGUGGCGCGUGUAAAAUGCCUUGCUCAGGCUUCCGCUUGCUCUAGCCAGACGGCUGAUGGCGCAUUCGCGAGCAGUUUUCGGGUCUCUCCGAUGUCGACGAGGCCGGCGAAUGCAUCUGAGUUAAUACGACGCGCGGUGCUGAGACAGAACUCAUCAGCUGCUUGGUACCUGAGGAACAGGCGCUGCAGAUGUCGCUCCAGCUGGUCUAGAUGGAGUAGAAUAUUUUCCUCUAAACGCUUUUGGUGGUCGCGUAUAUCAUGCAGCGCCUGGUCGGUUUGCGUCGAGUCAACGGGCGAAAGGGCGCAUGCUUCAUCCGACUCCAUAGCCUCUUGAUUCUCAUCGUGCAGGAAAUUCUGAACGUCCUCCCAGCCAGCAAUUUCACGGUCAUACAGAGCUUCAAGUGCAGUAAGGGCGCUGAGGGAUUUGCGCAUUCGCUGGUUGUGUUUGUUCGGUCGCAUUGGUCUUUGCAACAACCUGUUCACAUCGGCGAAGGUCAGCUCCUCUAAACGUGGACGCUCCUCAGAUUC